rnacentral:lncRNA from 1 species
UGAUGCCAACCCUUUGAAAGUGAAGGGGUACAUUACCUUCUUGACACAUGCGAGUAAUUUCCCUUGAAUUCAAUUCUGUUAUUGCCACAAUAGACAGGUUUAUUUUAAAACAAAAUAUGCAAGUCUUUCUUUAGAAAAAUAUCUGGUCAAAAACAGGACAAUAUUUCUGCAACUUAACUGAAUUUUUCCUUUUUGCAACACCUGCAACUUUGAUAACCUUGACAAUGUUUAGAAAUUCUUUUAUCGAUUAAGACUAUGCCAUAAUCUAAUAUCAGUGACACCAAUAAAACGUCAGGCAAAACACUUGUCUUGGCUUAUUGAACUAUUUCCUCAUUCUUUUUCUUCUUGCAAAUUUCCAAGGAUAAGGGUAGCUAGUCAUGCCAAUACUAUUAGAUUAGUUGAUGACCUGCUGGUUUGAUUUUAACUGCUUGGCAGUUUAACUCCAAGAAAAGAGGGAGCAGGAUUCCAACUCAGGAAUUAUGUGCUGGUCCAAUUCGUUGUGUAGCAAUCGUCUUAUCCAAUACGCAGAAGUUUUGAGUAGCAAACAUGUAUGUGAGCAGUUGACCAGUGUGCCAGUAUCUGCCAUUACAAUUUGAAAGGAAAUCACAAAACUAGGAUCCAAAGCUUGAGGCUCAAGUGAUUGAUUUAUCCUAAGCCAAUAAGAGUGUAAACCAGUUUGGUUCAAUGCUAUUUUUGCAUAUUAGAGUGAAAAUAAGGCAUUUAUGUUUUUGCAAUCAAUUUUCAUCAUAGUGCUUAAUCUGAGGACUUCAAAACAGAAGUGUUGCCAUAACUGCUCAGAACCAAAAUCUGUAGUCAGAAUUAGUCUAUUCUUUUCAUUAUUUCUCAGACUGCUCGUUUUUCCAAAUCUUGAGAUGUUGCAUUAAAUAAUUAUUUCAAAGUUACUAUCAUAAUUCACUAUAAGUUUAUCUCAUUAUUUAUCUGUACGUCAAAUCACUUAGAAAAGCCUCAGUCACUGGUCUCCUAUGACAGCACUUUCCACAAAAUCAUCUUGCAUUCCACAGAAGGCAUUUCUUAUGCAUUAGAAGGAUAUUUGACACUCUUCAUCUCACUGACUGUCUCCUUGCUGUUGGACAGGGUGAAUGAGAGAGGAAUGAGCUCCCCUUUACAAGAUAGGUAAAACUGUAUUGAACAUGACAUAUUGCAUGCAAUGCAAAGCAGCUAU